rnacentral:rRNA from 1 species
GGGGAAUAUUGCACAAUGGGCGAAAGCCUGAUGCAGCAACGCCGCGUGAGUGAUGAAGGUCUUCGGAUUGUAAAGCUCUGUCUUUUGGGACGAUAAUGACGGUACCAAAGGAGGAAGCCACGGCUAACUACGUGCCAGCAGCCGCGGUAAUACGUAGGUGGCGAGCGUUGUCCGGAUUUACUGGGCGUAAAGGGUGCGUAGGCGGAUGUUUAAGUGAGAUGUGAAAUACCCGGGCUUAACUUGGGUGCUGCAUUUCAAACUGGAUAUCUAGAGUGCAGGAGAGGAGAAUGGAAUUCCUAGUGUAGCGGUGAAAUGCGUAGAGAUUAGGAAGAACACCAGUGGCGAAGGCGAUUCUCUGGACUGUAACUGACGCUGAGGCACGAAAGCGUGGGUAGCAAACAGGAUUAGAUACCCUGGUAGUCCACGCCGUAAAACGAUGAGUACUAGGUGUAGGAGGUAUCGACCCCUUCUGUGCCGCAGUAAAACA